AACAGGCUGCUUUUUUUGUCUGUCUUUGCGUUGCCAUUAUUCUUCAACCAGUAUAGAAUCCUGGAGGAGACAGACUUCCGGAAUGGCUGAACAAGAACGUUCAUGAACUCACCUUCCCAUAAAAAUAAUUAAAAUACCGGCAAAACAACUAAGGUAACCAUUUCAAAACUCUGAAAAUUAACCAAAGCCACAGAACAAACUGAGAAUUACCUAAAAGAAACUACUGAACCUCGGAUACCAAAAUCACACGUGACAAAGAAAAACAGAUGAAUUGGAAUAUAUCAAAAUGAAGAACUUUUUGUAAUGCAAAUGAUCCAGUCAAGAAAGGACUUUGACAGAGGAUUCUGAUGUGACUAAAGCCCGCUUCCGAUGAGCCACUUUGUAUUUCGGCAUCUUGUUAAACAGAGUUGUUGA